rnacentral:lncRNA from 1 species
CACCCUGAAAUCAUGUGAGCUUUCUACAUCCUCUGUUGCAUCUUUCAUUAAGGUGGUAUGGAACUUUCCUCUUUUGCAACAGGAGGUCUUCAGCGUGCCCUCCUGAAUGUCCUCUUGAUCUCCAGCCUCUUCCAAGGUCACCUCUGCUCUCUGAGUGGCAUCUGCUAAUGUAGGAGGGACAGAUACAGGGAAGAGGGCUGUGUUUUCUGGCAAUCCCAGGCAGGGGGCUGCAAUGCUCAGGAAAUGAAUUUGGUCCUCUGCUUAUUUCAAAAUAGACUUUGGAUGAUGAAGGAUUUAUGUGGCCCUCCCCCACCACAGACUUCAAAUAAAAAGUACAGAGGUAUGUAUUUCAUUGCUGCUCUCACGCCUCACACCUCUUUCACUGAAGCAAGGAUCAUUAUUGUAAAUACUUGUCAUCUACAUAUAAGAGACCACCUUAAAUAACAUGAACAGUCAAUAUUUUCGCCCUGAAGUACUUGCAUGUGAGACUAGUGAACUUAAGAGCUUCUGGGAAAAGACAAUUGAGAAACAAACUCAACAUCUGGAAGCUGAAAAACACCGGAAACAAAGAAGUGCACUGGACAAACUCAGAAAUGAAUGGCGAGAAAGGCUGGAAAAGAGAUUAAAAAUGCUCCAAGAACAGGAUGAGAAGGAAGAAUCCCCUAAAUGAAGAGAACAUCAUGCUUUUUAGUGUGUUUGGUAGUAAUGGCUUAAAUUAAAAGAAGAAAGUUUGUGUUGAGGCAAAACUGUCACAUCUGGCUUGCAUUCAUUUAGAAAUUUCACUGAGUUUUUAUGGGAGCUACCUGAAUGUACUAUGGUCUGAUUACUUAUUUGGCAAGUUCGUCUUCAAACUAUCAGACGGUUUCGCUUUUACAUUUUCCCCACAGCUUUCUUAUUAAUUGUCUGAAAUGCUAUCCUGACUGUUAAUUCUUCUUGUUGAAAUUGUGAGAUUGUGAGGUUGUAGAUUUUUAACAUUCAUUAUGAUCCUAGAUGGCAAACUGCCCGCUUGAUCGUUUUUCACAUACUUCUGAUAUGCCAUUUUACAGCUUUUCAUCAAAAUUAUAUACAGCCACAGAUAUGUUCCUCAAAGAAAUUAUUCACUCAUGGCCUUUUAAGGUGAAGAGUCUAGUCAGCACUUCCUUCACUCAAUUUGAGUUUAACAUAUCUCCAUGGUCAUCACCACUAACUAGAUAAGCAUGUGGUCUUCAAGAACAGCCGUAGAUCCUAUGUUUUGAAAUAUAUCCCUUUACAAUAUUGAAUAGCAUGAGCUAAAUGUAUGCUAGUUCCAAUCACGGUAGACCCAUUCAAAUGAUUAUUAAUAACUAAUUACUUAUAUAUUUCUUUGAGUUCAGUGGGUGUACUCUUAGCACAGGAGAUAAAGCACCAACCAUGAGGCACCCAAAACUUUGUCUUUCAGCAAAGAAAAUGUUUGGAGAUCUUAGCAAGAAUGGCAAACAAGUUGCCACACUUGCUACCAGCCAUCUGAUGCCAUCUUAGGUUGUCCUCUCUUUCUGUGCUUAGUAAUAGAGCCAAUCCUGUUCAAUGGUCAAAAAAAUGCAAGAACUUCAGUGAAGACCAGCAGAUGUGCCACUCAGUGUGUUACUCAUAACAACACUCAGUGGCCUAAAUCCAGCUAUUGAUUCAGACUAUAUUGGCCCAUUGAAUCAAUG